UAGGGAAUAUUGGGCAAUGGAGGGAACUCUGACCCAGCCAUGCCGCGUGCAGGAUGAAGGCGUUAUGCGUUGUAAACUGCUUUUAUAUAGGAAGAAAUAGUCCUUGCGAGGAAAGUUGACGGUACUAUAUGAAUAAGCACCGGCUAACUCCGUGCCAGCAGCCGCGGUAAUACGGAGGGUGCAAGCGUUGUCCGGAUUUAUUGGGUUUAAAGGUGCGUAGGCGGUUUAUUAAGUCAGUGGUGAAAGACGGUCGCUCAACGAUUGCAGUGCCAUUGAUACUGGUAGACUUGAGUAUGAUUGAGGUAGCUGGAAUGGAUAGUGUAGCGGUGAAAUGCAUAGAUAUUAUCCAGAACACCAAUUGCGUAGGCAAGUUACUAAGUCAUAACUGACGCUGAGGCACGAAAGUGUGGGUAUCAAACAGGAUUAGAUACCCCAGUAGUCCCUGAGCGGGCUGGCAAGGCGCAU
rnacentral:rRNA from 1 species